rfam:Pediculus humanus corporis strain TSDA 1103172095017, whole genome shotgun sequence.
AUAAUAAUUAAAAAUUUUACAGGCCAGUUGGAGUUUGGGGAAAAAUUGUCGGUUCCCUUUGCGCCAUUGCCGGUGUUCUUACCAUUGCGCUUCCCGUGCCUGUUAUUGUCUCCAAU